rnacentral:rRNA from 1 species
UACAGAGGGUGCGAGCGUUAAUCGGAAUUACUGGGCGUAAAGCGCGCGUAGGCGGCUUUGCAAGUCGGGUGUGAAAUCCCCAGGCUUAACCUGGGAACUGCAUUCGAGACUGCAUUGCUAGAGUAUGGGAGAGGGAAGUGGAAUUUCCGGUGUAGCGGUGAAAUGCGUAGAUAUUGGGAAGAACACCUGAGGCGAAGGCGGGUUGCUGGGCUGACACUGACGCUGAGGCGCGAAAGCCAGGGGAGCGAACGGG